CGGCAGCACGGGAGCAAUCCUGGUGGCGAGUGGCGAACGGGUGAGUAAUAUAUCGGAACGUGCCCAGUCGUGGGGGAUAACGCAGCGAAAGCUGUGCUAAUACCGCAUACGAUCUCUGGAUGAAAGCGGGGGACUCAGCAAUGAGCCUCGCGCGAUUGGAGCGGCCGAUAUCAGAUUAGCUAGUUGGUGGGGUAAAAGCCCACCAAGGCGACGAUCUGUAGCUGGUCUGAGAGGACGACCAGCCACACUGGAACUGAGACACGGUCCAGACUCCUACGGGAGGCAGCAGUGGGGAAUUUUGGACAAUGGGCGCAAGCCUGAUCCAGCAAUGCCGCGUGCAGGAUGAAGGCCUUCGGGUUGUAAACUGCUUUUGUACGGAACGAAACGGUUCGCUUUAAUACAGUGGGCUAAUGACGGUACCGUAAGAAUAAGCACCGGCUAACUACGUGCCAGCAGCCGCGGUAAUACGUAGGGUGCGAGCGUUAAUCGGAAUUACUGGGCGUAAAGCGUGCGCAGGCGGUGAUGUAAGACAGAUGUGAAAUCCCCGGGCUCAACCUGGGACCUGCAUUUGUGACUGCAUCGCUAGAGUACGGUAGAGGGGGAUGGAAUUCCGCGUGUAGCAGUGAAAUGCGUAGAUAUGCGGAGGAACACCGAUGGCGAAGGCAAUCCCCUGGACCUGUACUGACGCUCAUGCACGAAAGCGUGGGGAGCAAACAGGAUUAGAUACCCUGGUAGUCCACGCCCUAAACGAUGUCAACUGGUUGUUGGGUCUUCACUGACUC
rnacentral:rRNA from 1 species